CUCAGAUUGAACGCUGGCGGCAGGCCUAACACAUGCAAGUCGAGCGGUAGCACGGGAGAGCUUGCUCUUUGGGUGACGAGCGGCGGACGGGUGAGUAAUGUCUGGGAAACUGCCUGAUGGAGGGGGAUAACUACUGGAAACGGUAGCUAAUACCGCAUGACCUCGCAAGAGCAAAGUGGGGGACCUUCGGGCCUCUCGCCAUCGGAUGUGCCCAGAUGGGAUUAGCUAGUAGGUGGGGUAAUGGCUCACCUAGGCGACGAUCCCUAGCUGGUCUGAGAGGAUGACCAGCCACACUGGAACUGAGACACGGUCCAGACUCCUACGGGAGGCAGCAGUGGGGAAUAUUGCACAAUGGGCGCAAGCCUGAUGCAGCCAUGCCGCGUGUGUGAAGAAGGCCUUAGGGUUGUAAAGCACUUUCAAA
rnacentral:rRNA from 1 species